rnacentral:lncRNA from 1 species
AAUGACUUAGUAGACGUGCUUAGAAGGCAGCUGAGCACACAGUGGGUGUCAAUCAAUGGGAACCCUCACUAGCAAUAGUAACGGAAUAUUCCAUUUGACCAAACAUCAAGGCUGACGUCUGACAAUGUCUUGCUCAAGUACAUUGACUCAUUUUUCCGAAAAAAUAAAUCUAAUUUUCAGCCUUUUCCUAGGACAGGUCCCUCAAUGGAAUGGCUCAAACAUUGUUCAGACACAGGGACUGAGGGCUUUGCUGGCAAACAGUCUUUUGCUGGCUCGCUGCCUACUUUUACCCUGGUCACCAACUUCUCCAAGUCCUCUUCGCAGAGCUUUUUGGGGUCCUUGUAAUAUUGUGGAACCACAUCACCCCCGUUCUUUGGGCUCUCGGCCAUGGGUUUUGUUGCUUUCCUUGCUACGGCAUCGUAGCCGUGAUCAUCUGCCACGGGCUGGUGCUGGUACUGCUCCAUCCACUUCACGGUUCCCGUUUUCAGCAAGCAUCUGUUCUCCUUGAACCAACGCACAAUCUCAGUUCGGACCAGGCCAGUCUUGGCCGCUAACUGGUCGUACUCCUGGGGAGUAGGCCACUGGGUUCUUGCAAACGUGCUCCUCAGGAGAUGAACCUGUUCUUGACUUUUUGCAAUUACUGGCGAAGGGCUGGGCAGAGAACUUGUUAACUGGGCACCGGAGAGCUGGUCGAGUCGAGACAGAGCACCAUUGGGGGCUCCCACAUCUUGGCCUUUUUUGCCAGACCCCAUGGAAUCCAAGACAGCUUGUUCCAUGCUGUCUCGAAGCUUCCGCCUCUCCGAGAACCAGGAGUCGAUCUCUCUCCUGCUCAGUUCUGCACACACGUAGAGGGGGUUGAGAAUCACGUUGGGAUGCUGCAUGUCGACGUGCUCCGUGAACUCGUUCAGGUUUUGUGUGGAGUAGGGGCAGUAUUUGCACUCAUAACCACCUUGGAGUUUUUUGGACUGGCUUUCCCCCAUAGAUUUCACCUCUAUCACUUCGUUUUCUUUGGAAGAGUUUUCAAGUUCUGCUGCCCAACUGUCCUUGGCCACGUCAGGCUGUGGUGUGCCGAUUCCUUUCUCUUUGGCCCUGUCUACCUCCUCGGGCACAUCUUGUUCUACUACUUGUGAUGUCCGAACCAUGCAUGGAGUUGUAGAUUUUCGUUUGCUAGCCAUGCUGCCUGUCUGUGUGCAAUGGCUUAUUUUUGGAGGGGGAUAAGGAGGGCGUGGUGAGAUUCUUGGAACGAAUAAGGUGAAAGGCUUUUGGCUUUAUUCCCCCUCAAAUGGCUUUGGCUUUCCUUGUGUGCUGAAGUCUACUGUUUUGAGUUUUCAGAAUGAUUUCAGCACAGAAAAUUGCAAUGGCACCAACCACUAAACACACCAGGAAGCAUCAUAUCUGUGGACAAGAACAAAGACAGGGUCAGUGUCUCUUCACAACGCAAAAGAAACUGGCACUUCUUUAUGAGUUUUCCCAUGACCCAGCCCAAUAGGCACCCAAAUCGAACAUCUAUGGAUGCACAGACGGCGUGAAAGUGCUUAGAAACAUGAAAAAUCACAUUCUUCUUCUCUUCCUUUUUUUGGAAGGAGGUGAAAACAGGCCCAAACCAAACAAACAUGGAUGAGGGUCACCAUUUCAUGUUUGGAGACAAAGGAAUACAGGAAAGUUAGACAGGUCCUAAAAUCCUCUGAAGCGGUGAGAGGGAAUGUCGCAGAUGGUGUGCUUGCAAGCCACUUUUAGAUAUGGUACCUCGGAAGCGAGAUGUGUCCCCAGGGGUUGGCAAGUGAAAUUUACUCAGGCGCUAGAAAACAGAUAUGAACAUUUUGCUUAUCAUAAAAGCAAAAUCAUGAUAGAAAAUCCAGAAAAUGCAGAAAAGUAUAAAAGAAAAAAAAAGCAAUCACCCCCCACAAUAUUGCAGUUUUAUAGUUCAUCUCACUUAAACAGUUUCCCAUUUCCAUAAAUAGUGAGCAAAAUAAUGAUUUUAAAAAUCAUUAUUUCAUCACGUGAUGAAAUCAUCAUGUGUGGUAUAUCCCUAUAAUGCAUGUUAUUACAUUGUAGGGAUAGACCACACAUGAUAUGUUCAGCUAUUGGACUUUUUUUAAAUUUUAUUUUAAGUUCUGGGAUACAUGUGCGGAAUGUGCAGGUUUGUUACAUAGGUAUGCAUGUGCCAUGGUGGUUUGCUGCACCCAUCAACCCUUCAUCUAGGUUUUAAGCCCUGCAUGCAUUAGGUAUUUGUCCGAAUGCUCUCCCUCUCCUUGUCCCCCAUCCCCCAACAGGCCCCGGUGUGUGACGUUCCCCUCCCUGUGUCCAUGUGUUUUCAUUGUUCAACUCCCACUUAUGAGUGAGAACAUGUGGUGUUUGGUUUUCUGUUCCUGUGUUAGUUUGCUGAGAAUGAUGGCUUCCAGCUUCAUCCAUGUCCCUGCAAAGGACAUAAACUCAUUCUUUUUUUACAGCAAUUGGACUUUUGUUGGACAUUUAUUUCGUUUUUGGCUCUUAUCAACAAAACUGCAGUGAAUACCCUUAUUCCUUAUUUUUGAUAACUACCUUUGGAUGGAUGCCUAGAAGUGGUUCUCUUGACCCAUAUGUAUGGCAGAGUUUUGGCCUCAAUUGACCUUUUCUUUGGUAGUGUAUGACAGGGCUUGACUUACAAUCCAGCCUAUAUAGCUGGAUCCAGCCUAUUUACAGUAGUAAAUACUACUCACAAUCCAGCCUAUUUAACAGUAGUAAAAUACUACUGUUAAAAAGCCUUGCUGAUUAGAUAGGGAAAAACAGUUUCUUGGAUUUUUGUUUGUUUCUGAGACAGGGUCUGGCUCUGUCACCCAGGUUGGAGUGCAGUGGCACAAUUCUAGCUCACUGCAGCCUCUAUCUCCUGGGCUUAAGCAAUCCUCCUGCCUCAGCCUCCUGAGCAGCUGGAACU